rnacentral:tRNA from 1 species
GGAGAGAUGCUCGAGCGGUUGAAGAGGCACGCCUGGAAAGCGUGUAUACGCCAAAAGCGUAUCGCGGGUUCGAAUCCCGCUUUCUCCG